GACGAACGCUGGCGGCGUGCUUAACACAUGCAAGUCGAACGGAAAGGCCCUGCUUUUGUGGGGUGCUCGAGUGGCGAACGGGUGAGUAACACGUGAGUAACCUGCCCUUGACUUUGGGAUAACUUCAGGAAACUGGGGCUAAUACCGGAUAGGAGCUCCUGCUGCAUGGUGUGGGUUGGAAAGUUUCGGCGGUUGGGGAUGGACUCGCGGCUUAUCAGCUUGUUGGUGGGGUAGUGGCUUACCAAGGCUUUGACGGGUAGCCGGCCUGGGAGGGUGACCGGCCACAAUGGGACUGAGAGACGGCCCAGACUCCUACGGGAGGCAGCAGUGGGGAAUAUUGCACAAUGGGCGGAAGCCUGAUGCAGCAACGCCGCGUGCGGGAUGACGGCCUUCGGGUUGUAAACCGCUUUCGCCUGUGACGAAGCGUGAGUGACGGUAAUGGGUAAAGAAGCACCGGCUAACUACGUG
rnacentral:rRNA from 1 species